GAUCCGGCUCAGGACGAACGCUGGCGGCGUGCCUAACACAUGCAAGUCGAGCGGGGAAUAUUGAACAGCUUGCUGCUUGGUAUUUCUAGCGGCGGACGGGUGAGUAACGCGUGAGCAACCUGCCUUUAUCAGGGGGAUAACGCAUCGAAAGAUGUGCUAAUACCGCGUAAGACCACAGCUUCACAUGGAGCAGGGGUCAAAGGAGCAAUCCGGAUAAAGAUGGGCUCGCGUCCGA
rnacentral:rRNA from 1 species